AGAGUUUGAUCCUGGCUCAGGAUGAACGCUGGCGGCGUGCCUAACACAUGCAAGUCGAACGGAGUUCUUAAGGAAUGCGACUUCGGUCAAAUGACUUUUGAACUUAGUGGCGGACGGGUGAGUAACGCGUGAGCAACCUGCCUUUCAGAGGGGGAUAACAUUUGGAAACAGAUGCUAAUACCGCAUAAGAUUACAGUACCGCAUGAUACAGUGAUCAAAGGAGCAAUCCGCUGAAAGAUGGGCUCGCGUCCGAUUAGAUAGUUGGUGAGGUAACGGCUCACCAAGUCGACGAUCGGUAGCCGGACUGAGAGGUUGAACGGCCACAUUGGGACUGAGACACGGCCCACACUCCUACGGGAGGCAGCAGUGGGGAAUAUUGCACAAUGGGCGAAAGCCUGAUGCAGCAACGCCGCGUGAGGGAAGACGGUUUUCGGAUUGUAAACCUCUGUUUUAGGUGACGAACAAAUGACGGUAACCGAGUAGGAAGCCACGGCUAACUACGUGCCAGCAGCCGCGGUAAUACGUAGGCGGCAAGCGUUAUCCGGAAUUACUGGGUGUAAAGGGAGCGCAGGCGGGAUAGCUAGUCAGCUGUGAAAACUAUGGGCUCAACCCAUAAACUGCAGUUGAAACUGUUAUUCUUGAGUGGAGUAGAGGCAAGCAGAAUUCCGAGUGUAGCGGUGAAAUGCGUAGAUAUUAGGAGGAACACCAGUGGAGAAGGCGGCUUGCUGGGCUAUAACUGACGAUGAGGCUAGAAAGCUGGGGGAGAGAACGAGGAUUAGAUACCCUGGUAGUCCCAGCCGUAAACGAUGGACGCUAGGUGUGGGGGGACGAUCCCCCCGUGCCGCAGCCAACGCAUUAAGUGUCCCGCGUGGGGAGUACGGCCGCAAGGCUAAAACUCAAAGGAAUUGACGGGGGCCCGCACAAGCAGCGGAGCAUGUGGAUUUAAUUAGAAGCAACGCGAAGAACCUUACCAGGGCUCGACAUAUGGGUGAAGCGGGGGAGACCCUGUGUCCGAGAGGAGUCCAUACAGGUGGUGCAUGGCUGUUGUCAGCUUGUGUUGUGAGAUGUUGGGUUAAGUCCCGCAACGAGCGCAACCCCCGCCGCGUGUUGCCAUCGGGUGAUGCCGGGAACCCACGCGGGACCGCCGCCGUCAAGGCGGAGGAGGGCGGGGACGACGUCAAGUCAUCAUGCCCCUUAUGAUCUGGGCGACACACGUGCUACAAUGGCGGUCACAAAGUGAGGCAAACCCGCGAGGGGGAGCAAACCACAAAAAGGCCGUCCCAGUUCGGACUGUAGUCUGCAACCCGACUACACGAAGCUGGAAUCGCUAGUAAUCGCGAAUCAGAAUGUCGCGGUGAAUACGUUCCCGGGUCUUGUACACACCGCCCGUCA
rnacentral:rRNA from 1 species